rnacentral:lncRNA from 1 species
GAUUGGCAGAAAGGCCUUCGAUAUACACGUGCUGACAAGAAGACGGCUCCUUCUCUCAGGCUACUCUGGAUAAAAGCUGGGCUUCUGGGAGAGAAGCUGUUUCUCAGCAUUUAAAAUGAACGCAUUGGGCUGAGGUAAUCUAGGUUAUAAUAAUAAUAAUAAUAAUUUAUUAUUUAUACCCCGCCCAUCUGGCUGGGCCUCCCCAGCCACUCUGGGCGGCUUCCAAAAAAAUAUUAAAAUACUAUAAUACAUCAAAGGUUGACUUUGCUUCAAGGCUGGAGGAGGAGGGAGUGAGGCCUGAAGAGUGGGAAGCGCUUUCAGCUGUGUGGAAAAAGUAGGCCCUUCAAGGUACUAAGAAGCUUCUAGAUGCCUGGAGUGGGAAGCCCUUUAAGCUGUGUGGAAAAAGUAGGCCCUUCAAAGUACUGAGAAGCUUCUAGAUGCCUUCUGGCUGGUUCAGGGGAUUCAUCCCAGUGGCUAUGCCUUUUUACUCCAAAGCUGGCCCAUUUUUUGUGCCUAUUGUUUUUCUUUCACACACCCUGUCUCUUCACGACACCUGGGACACCUCAGCUUUUGCACUACGGAUUGUAGAUGAUCGAUUCAAAGCUCCAUGGUAUGUACAUGAUGAGAUGGCUUUCCUAAUUUUAAUUUGAUUUAUAAUUCCCAGAUAUGUUGAUAAUUGGAAUAUCUGUCUGUACUUUUUAAUGAGUAUUUUGGGUUCUGUUUUAUGUUCUUAAUUUCCCCUCUUUUUAUUGCAUUCUUUCUUAAUAAGUCUACAGAAUUGGGGUCUGUUUAUUUGGGUAAAGCCUUGGUACUGACUCCAUUUCCUAACCUCUUGGUUGCUUACUAUUGUGUAAGUGGUAAACCUGAGGCUCAGGGAGCAGAGAAACCCGUUUCUAGCUCUUUUUUUCUUUUAAAUCUUAGGGGCGUCCUUGCAGGGUUGGUGUUAGAUCCUGAAUAGUAGUCCUGGCUGUAACACCAGAGUCUGGGCCCAGGAUUUUGAGGAGCCAGUCCUUGACACAACCUUCUUUUUCUACAUCCCUCUGCUGGGUUUCCUAUCUCAAUAUGUUACAAUAUGAAAAGCAUGGUUCUUUUUCUUAUGAGUGGACCUAAUAAACAAUAUUUGUUUUGCUUAAAAACUUUAAAUAAUUUCUCCUUCAGUUAAAUUAAUUUACGACCACUAAGGCUAAGGGAAACUGCUUCAGGACUACCAGUUUUCUAUCUCUCAGAAACCAAAAUUAGUUAUAUUAUUAUUACUAUUUCUGAAUUUAUAUGGCACUUAGUGCCCAGAUGGCUUCUAAGCAGUUUUCAAAACAUGGAAACCAAUUACACAUUGUACAACAUUAUGCCAAUGUAACAUGGGAAGGGAAGCUGAGGGCAGCUGCCUCAUUUCUAUUUUUAUUUAUUUUUAAUUAGAAAUUGGGAGACCAGCAUGCAGGAAGAAAUAAUCUUUCUCCCUUGUACCAGGAUGGGGAGUACCCAUGGCUGCUUUUUGUCAGCAAAGAGAAGUGACCAGCCAAAGCAUGGUUUUGAACCAACUGCCUAAAAAGACAUCUAGUUUGAACUCAAAUCCAAAGAUAAGAAAUACUUCUUGAGGUAAAGAAAAGCUGAUGACUGCAUUAUUCAUUGUAACCCAUUUUUGUUAUACUUCAAGCUCAUAGUCCCUGUGCCAACCUAUUACUAAACUGGUGAAGGCAGAUCAUGGCUGUUGUAUGAUAUGUAGCAAACAACAGAAAUCUUAAUUUUAUAAUUAACCAGCAGCCUCUUGUCUGGCGUUGCUCAGGAAUUCUAUGAAAUAAAAAAAAGUAUACAGCUUUGAAAUAAGUGGUAAAAUUAUUGCAGUUUUAAUGGGUUCUGUCCACCACCUUGAUUCAAAAUGGUGUCCAGUUGCAUCCAAACAUAGACAAAAACUUGCUCCUUGAUCUCAGGAACUAAAUUUGGUUAUAGCAUUUAAAAAAGUGACCAAAUGCCUAGCAAAAAACUAUCUGAGAUCCUUAAGUGGAGAUGUCAAGGACAGGACCCGUGUUUGAUAUGCGCGUAUGCCAGAAUCUAGGUUGAUCUCCUUCUUGAGUUGGAAAAGUUGGAAGGAAAAACAGCAUAUGGAAAUAAGCUGGUUUGUUUGCUUGUUUAAAUAUGAUUUUGGGAUUCUGCCUUUGAAGUACUGCGUCUUGAGACUUAGGCGGAACACAGAUUUUGUUGCUCCCACCAGUGCCUUUGUCAACUCACUGUUCACCACUUCUCCUCCUACAUCUCUGUCACAGGACUGAGUGACAGAUCUCUUACUCUCAUUUUCUCUUCCUGACCCUAAGGAUGCUCUCUGAUUCUUUCCACUUCACUGCCAAAGGUUGAUAGCAUUAUUCAUUUCUCUUGGGGGGGGGGGAUGUCGUAUAGAUUGACACAGGUCAGUGGUGAUGGUUGGUGCAUUCGCUUACAAUGUCAGUCAGUGGUGGAGACUUUAAUUAUAACCCAGCAUUUUGGGUGUCCCCAAAAGUAAGACUGUCACUGAACUUUGAAAGCUUAGCACUCGGGUUCCUAAACUGGUCCAUGGAGUAUCAGUGGUCUGGAAGCUUCAUUCAGGUGGUCUAUGGCAUGUCUGUUGAUUUGUGGUUGAAAAUGGUAGCAGCACAUCAAUUGCAUUAAAUAUUCAUAUUUAUUUUUAAUUGCCUUUUAAUUGCUUCUUUAAUUUCUUAUACUGUAUUUUAUUGUAUUUCAAUUUGAAUUCUAUGGAAUACAAUAAAACACAUUAUAUAAGAAAUAAAAUAAAUGGUAAAAAUACAAUUAAAACCAUACAGCGUAUUGCACAGCACAUUAAUUGCUACAACUGGCAAGAAAAGCAUUAAGUGUUCUGUCAAGAUUCUCAGCAGUUCCCAAGUGGUCACUAGGAAGAAAUGUUUGGGAACCACUGGCUUAGUAGAAUCAUAGAGUUCAGGUGAUUUGCGUGUACUGAACUGGUACCUAAUAUUAGAGCUUACCUGCUAAGUUUUCCUAAAGGCAUUUGCUGUGUUUGUUCUUGUUUUCCAGCCUUUUUGGCUGACAUGAUACCUUUCUGUCUGGAGGACCGAGUUUUACAAUUUUGUCAGAUUGUGUACUGUAUUUUGGAACUCUGAACCUGUUGUUAUUAUUAUUAUGCAAAUUAUUGUUUUAUUUUGUGAGAGAGACAUUGGGUACUAUAUACAAAUCUAUGAUCUAUAAAUAUGCUAGAUAGGUUUUGAAGUUAAUAUUUCAAAAAUUCUGUGAAAACAUUCUACCCCAAAGGCAUCGGAAGAAGCUUUUAAAUUUAACAAGCUAAUGUUCAAAAAGUGACUCUGCUUCAAACAGGAAUACGGAAGUUGUUUUCCUCCAUACGUUGUCAGUUCUAGCCAGCAUGGCCAAUGGCCAGGGAUGAUGGAAAAUGUACUGUAGGUCAACAUCAUCUUGGGGAUUACAGAUCCCCCAGUCGUUGGCUUUAAAAAAAAAAAAAAGCAAAACACAAAACAUUCCCUCUGUCAAAUGUUCUAGCCCAGAGAGUUUUAGAGAAUUCAUACUGUGCUUUUCCUCUUCUGAAAAACGGGGUAUACUUCAUUUUCUCUUUAUCACAUUCUCUGCUGCAUUUUUUAAUGUGAAAUAUUUUCAGCAUUAGCCGUCAGUAGCAGAGUACUGUAUAAACAGGGAUAUUAUUUUGGCUAUGGUGUCCUGAUGUGAUCUCCGCUUUUUCCCGUCCUCCCUCUGACAUAUUUGCCUGCAGCAAGGAACUCAACAUAUUUCUCUGCAGGGAAGAGCUCAACUUGUGAUGUCAACCUGCUAAACACACAGUGCAUGUAUGUUAAAAACAUGCCAUUUGACCUCUGUUCUGCCAGUGGCUUGUCAUUUGAAAUUUCAAUUGCAAAUUGUGUGUUUGUUUAAUGCUUUCUCUUAUAAACACAAAUUAAUUUACGAGGUCUCUCCCCGUUUGCUAAUGACACUUGUUCAAGAGUGGCUUACAUUACCAAUCAUUAGAAGGAGGCCAUUAGUUUCCUCUCUUUUAAUAUUACAUAAGAAGAUAAAUCCUUGCCCAGUUCAGCAGCUGAAGGCAGACUCUGAUUUAGAUUUGUGGAGGCCCUUGUUACCUUGCCAGUUUGGGCCCUCAAUUACUGUGCCCCAUCUACAUGCUGGAACAGAGUGUGAGUGAGACUAAAAUACACACAUAAAUUCAAAUUUUGAAUUCUUACAGUUUGGUACAGCAGCUAAACUUUUUGUUUUGGUUCAAAAACUGUG